CAAGUCGAACGAUUAAAGCUCUCUUCGGAGAGUGCAUAGAGUGGCGCACGGGUGAGUAACACGUAAGUAAUCUACCCUCGAGUGGGGAAUAACGUUCGGAAACGAACGCUAAUACCGCAUAAUGCAGCGGCACUGCAAGGUGACAGUUGUUAAAGGAGUAAUUCGCUUGAGGAGGAGCUUGCGGCAGAUUAGCUUGUUGGUAAGGUAACGGCUUACCAAGGCUACGAUCUGUAACCGGUCUUAGAGGACGGUCGGUCACACUGACACUGAAUAACGGGUCAGACUCCUACGGGAGGCAGCAGUCGGGAAUUUUGGGCAAUGGGGGAAACCCUGACCCAGCAACGCCGCGUGAAGGAUGAAGUAUUUCGGUAUGUAAACUUCGAAAGAAUAGGAAGAAUAAAUGACGGUACUAUUUAUAAGGUCCGGCUAACUACGUGCCAGCAGCCGCGGUAAUACGUAGGGACCAAGCGUUGUUCGGAUUUACUGGGCGUAAAGGGCGCGUAGGCGGUGCGGUAAGUCACUUGUGAAAUCUCUGAGCUUAACUCAGAACGGCCAAGUGAUACUGCAGUACUAGAGUGCAGAAGGGGCAAUCGGAAUUCUUGGUGUAGCGGUGAAAUGCGUAGAUAUCAAGAGGAACACCUGAGGUGAAGACGGGUUGCUGGGCUGACACUGACGCUGAGGCGCGAAAGCCAGGGGAGCAAACGGGAUUAGAUACCCCGGUAGUCCUGGCCCUAAACGAUGAAUACUUGGUGUCUGGAGUCUUUAAUGCUCCGGGUGCCGUCGCUAACGUUUUAAGUAUUCCGCCUGGGGAGUACGCUCGCAAGAGUGAAACUCAAAGGAAUUGACGGGGACCCGCACAAGCGGUGGAGCAUGUGGUUUAAUUCGACGCACCGCGAAAACCUUACCUAGGCUAGAUGUGAGGG
rnacentral:rRNA from 1 species